rnacentral:rRNA from 1 species
AUACAGAGGGUGCGAGCGUUAAUCGGAUUUACUGGGCGUAAAGCGUGCGUAGGUGGUUGGAUAAGUCAGAUGUGAAAGCCCCGGGCUUAACCUGGGAACUGCAUUCGAAGCUGCUAGGCUAGAGUAUGGUAGAGGGUAGUGGAAUUCCCAGUGUAGCGGUGAAAUGCGUAGAUAUCGGGAGGAACAUCAGUGGCGAAGGCGGCUACCUGGAUCAAUACUGACACUGAGGUGCGAAAGCGUGGGGAGCAAACAGGAUUAGAAACCCUGGUAGUCC